GCCCUUAUAGUCAGUUUGGAGUCGACGGAGGAAUCAUCAGUAGAAGCAGAACCCAGAUCCGGAUCAGUGCCAAAGGAAGCAGUUAGAGCGGAGCCAACAGGAAGUAGUGCAUAUAUGAUUUAGAGUCAGCAGGAAGCAGGAAGCAAAGCGUCGCAGUGAGUCAGUAAAAAAGAGCUUACUCUAUGUUCUUAGGCGUCAAUUAAUUAACUAUAAGAGUCUUUCGGGGCCCACUGUGUGUAAUUUGCCAUAAGAUGAGUUGACCCGGAGUGGUAAAGAAUAAGGUGUGGGCUAAAGUCAAAGAGGUCAGCUGGAAAUAAAUCAGUAGAUUAUAGGUCGGGUGCUAAAACUAAAGAAAGAACUAGGGUCGGUAUGAACCUAAUGCUACUAGUAGUUGCUUGGCCCACUUCACCUUGCUUCAAAGCCUAUUUACCAGAAGCAGUUGCGAGAAGAAGCGAUGUUGCUCUGGUUAAGUAAGAAGAAAAGUGUACUGCUAAAUGAGUGCAAUCGAAUGCUAGAGCUGGAGUGUCU
rnacentral:lncRNA from 1 species